CUGGGAUCAGACCUGAGCCGAAGGCAGAGGCUUUAACCUACUGAGCCACUGAGCCACCCAGGUGAGAAAGAAAGCCUUGUGGGAACUUGCAAGCCUUAUGUGGCCCAAUGUUACUGUCUUCCAAAC
rnacentral:lncRNA from 1 species